rnacentral:lncRNA from 1 species
GUCUUUCUUCACCAGAGCCAUACACACCCCCGUCUCUCUCAUCUUCUUCAUUGAGCCGUAUUGGGAGUUGUAACGUCACCAUUGAAGCUUCUCUUUAUCCACUAAUCGGAGCAGCAGCAGUUAUGACCCACAAUUGGGAGCGCCGCGCGGAAUGGAGCUUCUCUUCAUCGGAGCCACAACGGAUUUGAUCUAAUUUUUGCAGACGAUCGUUGAGAAUGGUCGGUUUUUGCGCAUAUUUGAUCUCAUUUUUUAACACGAUCGUCGGUAGUGGUUGAUUUUGCAUAGAUCUGGUUGGUAGUGGUUGUUUUUUCCAAAACGGUACUGAUGGUGAGGAGGUUGUUGUGAGAUAGUGAUGUUCGAUCAUGGUGAGGUGGUGGUCGCUGUGGUGUAUAAUCAGGAUAUGGUCAUUUGUUACUGGCCAAUUUGUGUGUGAAUCC